GAUGAACGCUGGCGGCGGGCUUAACACAUGCAAGUCGAACGGAAACGCCCUGCUAGCGUGCGGUGCCCGAGUGCCGAACGGGUGCGUAACACGUAAGUAUCCUGACCUUGACUUUGGGAUAAGGUCAGGAAACCGGGGCUAAUCCCGGAUCGGAGCUGCUGCUGCAUGGUGGGGGUUGGAACGUUUCGGCGUAUGGGGAUGGACGCGCGGCUUAUCAGCUAGUUGGUUGGGUAGUGGCUUACCAAGGCAUUGACGGGUAGACGGCCUGAGAGGGUGACAGGGCACAUUGGGACUACGAUACGGCCCAGAGUCCUACGGGAGGCAGCGGUGGGGAAUAUUGCACAAUCGGCGGAAGCCUGAUGCAGCAACGCCGCGUGCGGGAUGACGGCCUUCUGGUAUUAAACCGCAUUCGCCUGUAACGAAGCGUGAGUGACGGUAAUGGGUAAAGAAGCACCGGCUAACUACGUG
rnacentral:rRNA from 1 species